rnacentral:lncRNA from 1 species
UCUUUUAAGGCUCUGUUCAGAUAUUUGCUAAGUACGUUUUGUUUGUUUCUCAGUGGGAAAAAACUCAACUUCACUGGCAUCAGAGGACUGCAUUACGUCGGCCAAACGGGAAGCCAUAAAGCGGAUUCUGAAAGUUGCAGUCCUCAAGCUACCAAUGGGGAGAUUUGCUAGGGGUAAGGGGGGGAGGUGGCUUAAGGGGGCGGAUAUAGUUCUUCCCCCUUUUGACGGUUCUGGGAAAUGUAGUCCUCAACUCUGUCCGGAAACAAGGAGCCGCUGAGGCGCUUGUUCCCCCUCGGGACUUCUGGGAAGUGUAGUUCCGGGACACCGUGUAGUCAGAGGCACUUCCGCCCCGGAAAAGCAAGGCCGCCACAGUCUUUUCGGUCUGGAGGACGCCACGAGUCGCCCGCGCUAGCGCCUGGGGAUGUCCGCUGCAGUUUAUCCGCGAGGCGGACGUGGUCGUGCUGUCCCACCGAAUCAUGGUCUACACCGCCCCUGACUUCGGAAAGGGGAGGAAGGACGGACUUCUCGGCUCCUCCGGGCAUAGCCCCGGCUGCAAGAAAAAGGGACUCCUGGUUCUUUGGACUUUCCAUCUACUCAUUUAACCCGUGGAACAACCUUAUGAGUUAUGCCUUCCCAGGACUCUGACCUUCCCCAGAAGGAGCAGGAGAAAAUGACCAUGUUUCCGGUAAGGCAUUCUUUUCUGUCUCCUCACAUGUGAUUUAAUUUCUCAGAGAUUAGGCACAUCUCUCUCCUCCUCCUUGGAAAAGUUAAUGGAAAAUGACAGAUUUCGAGUGCAUGUUGUAUGGCAGGCUGUGUGUGUGCGUCUGUGUUUUGUUUUAUAUUUAUUCUUUCACAAGACAAUCUUUGAAAAAAUGAUACGAAUUUGAAAUAGAACAAAAGAAUUUACGCUACCGCUUUGCUUAGAGGCCAGCUCUUUGCAUUUUCCCGUGUUCCUUUUUCACUUGCAUUCUGAACUGUGUAUUUUGUAAUAUUGGAAGUAGUGGGAUAUACAAUGGACCCUCUGACAACGCAAGGGUUAGAGACCCUGACCUCCUGCAUGGUUGAAAAUCCACAUUUAACUUUUG